AAGCUUGUGGCUUAAUUCCAGUAAAGAAGAAGAAGAAGAAGAAGAAGAAGAAGAAGAAGAAGAAGAAGAAGAAGAAGAAGAAGAAGAGAAGAAAAGAAAUUUUUCAAAGACAAAAUGAAGAAUGUUAAAAUGAAGUGACCAUCUUGAAUCAUUAUCUGAGCAAGCCUGAAGUAACCAUCUAGCCCUUUGAUAUAAGGUCAGAGGAUGCUGUUGCUGGCUUUGAAGAUGGACAAGAGGACCACGAGCCAAAGAGCACAUGUCUGCAUGCUGGAAAAGCCUAAGAAAAGGACUCUUCCCUGGAGACUCCAGGGGGUGUGAGCCCUGCCACACCUUGAUUCUAAACACUGCUGCCCAAGAUCCAUUUCACCCUUCAGAACUGAGGGGCAAAGGACUGCCUCUGAUAGACAGGGACAGGUGGGGCACGAAAACGGCAGUUUAUAAAGAUAACCCAGGCUGUCCUGGACUUUGUAGACCAGUGCCUUUGCCUUCCAAGUGCUGGGAUUACAGGCGUGUCUUACCGCCACCACCACCACCACUGGGAUUAUUUGUUUAAGACAGAAUCUAGAUGUGUAGCUCAGGCUGGCCUUGAACUCACUCUGCAUCAUAGGCUGGCCUGGAUUUUGUGAUCGUCCUGGCUCAGCCUUUCAAGUGCUGGUGUGACAGGCAUCCAUCACCAUUCCUGACCUCCAAUCAGCUUCUCUACAAAGUAUCCAUCAUUUUAACAAACAUGCAAAGAUUGGUUGGUUUUAUAAGGCUAAUAUGAAAUUCUGGAAUGUCAUCCUUGGAGGUCAGCAAGGUGAAGAUAAGGUCUAACACUCCUACUAUGUGGGCCUCUGAUCUGAGUCCACAGCCAGGCUGGACCCGUGUUACAGACAAGAAAGAGCCCGAGCCAUGAGAAUCAAUGGUGGGGGAACCUGCAUGCUCACAGAGGCCUUCCCAGAGGAAGUGGCAUUAGCCAAGCAAGACAACUGAAGGAGAG
rnacentral:lncRNA from 1 species